rnacentral:rRNA from 1 species
UACAUAGGGGGCAAGCGUUAUCCGGAUUUACUGGGUGUAAAGGGAGCGUAGACGGCAGGGCAAGUCUGGAGUGAAAGGCAGGGGCCCAACCCCUGGACUGCUCUGGAAACUGUCCGGCUGGAGUGCAGGAGAGGUAAGUGGAAUUCCUAGUGUAGCGGUGAAAUGCGUAGAUAUUAGGAGGAACACCAGUGGCGAAGGCGGCUUACUGGACUGUAACUGACGUUGAGGCUCGAAAGCGUGGGGAGCAAACAGG